rnacentral:rRNA from 1 species
UCAAUAGCCUAACGGCUGAACCAGCAACUUGGAGGAACGUAUAGUGAAAACUAGUUGUGCCAAUAGUUUAUAGGUACAAUAUCGACUUAGUCGAAUAAAGUUCUAAGUAGAGUUUUGAUAAUGACAUUAUCUACUUAUGUGUCUUGACCAAAUUACGUGCCAGCAGUCGCGGUAAUACGUAGAAGACUAGUGUUAUUCAUCUUUAUUAGGUUUAAAGGGUACCUAGACGGUAAAUAAAGCCUUAGUUGGGACUAAUUUACUAGAGUUACUUAUGAGGGAGUAUUAAAGUACUAGUGGUGGAGAGAUAAAAUUCUGUGAUACCUUUUUUCGUGAGAAAAGUAACGGCACAGGUAUAGGCGAAAGCAUCUCCUUAUGUGAUAACUGA